UACAGAGGGUGCAAGCGUUAAUCGGAUUUACUGGGCGUAAAGCGUGCGUAGGUGGUUUGUUAAGUCUGUUGUGAAAGCCCCGGGCUCAACCUGGGAAUGGCAAUGGAUACUGGCAAGCUAGAGUGCGGUAGAGGGUAGUGGAAUUCCCGGUGUAGCGGUGAAAUGCGUAGAGAUCGGGAGGAACACCAGUGGCGAAGGCGGCUACCUGGACCAGCACUGACACUGAGGCACGAAAGCGUGGGGAGCAAACAGG
rnacentral:rRNA from 1 species